GAUGAACGCUGGCGGCGUGCCUAAUACAUGCAAGUCGAGCGAACGGACGAGAAGCUUGCUUUUCUGAUGUUAGCGGCGGACGGGUGAGUAACACGUGGAUAACCUACCUAUAAGACUGGGAUAACUUCGGGAAACCGGAGCUAAUACCGGAUAAUAUUUUGAACCGCAUGGUUCAAAAGUGAAAGACGGUCUUGCUGUCACUUAUAGAUGGAUCCGCGCUGCAUUAGCUAGUUGGUAAGGUAACGGCUUACCAAGGCAACGAUGCAUAGCCGACCUGAUAGGGUUAUCGGCCACACUGGAACUGAUGCACGGUCCAGACUCCUACAGGAGGCAGCAGUAGGGAAUCUUCCGCAAUGGGCGAAAGCCUGACGGAGCAACGCCGCGUGAGUGAUGAAGGUCUUCGGAUCGUAAAACUCUGUUAUUAGGGAAGAACAUAUGUGUAAGUAACUGUGCACAUCUUGACGGUACCUAAUCAGAAAGCCACGGCUAACUACGUG
rnacentral:rRNA from 1 species